rnacentral:rRNA from 1 species
CAGUCGCCACGGUAAAACGUAGGUGGCAAGCGUUGUCCGGAAUUAUAGGGCGUAAAGGGCUCGCAGGCGGUUUCUUAAGUCUGAUGUGAAAGCCCCCGGCUCAACCGGGGAGGGUCAUUGGAAACUGGGAAACUUGAGUGCAGAAGAGGAGAGUGGAAUUCCACGUGUAGCGGUGAAAUGCGUAGAGAUGUGGAGGAACACCAGUGGCGAAGGCGACUCUCUGGUCUGUAACUGACGCUGAGGAGCGAAAGCGUGGGGAGCGAACAGGAUUAGAUACCCCAGUAGUCCCUGUCUCUUAUAC